GUAGGUGGCAAGCGUUGUCCGGAAUUAUUGGGCGUAAAGCGCGCGCAGGCGGUCCUUUAAGUCUGAUGUGAAAGCCCACGGCUCAACCGUGGAGGGUCAUUGGAAACUGGGGGACGUUGAGUACAGAAGAGGAAAGCGGAAUUCCAAGUGUAGCGGUGAAAUGCGUAGAGAUUUGGAGGGAACACCAGUGGCGAAGGCGGCUUUCUGGUCUGUAACUGACGCUGAGGCGCGAAAGCGUGGGGAGCAAACAGGAUUAGAUACCCUGGUAGUCCACGCCGUAAACGAUGAGUGCUAAGUGUUAGGGGUUUCCGCCCUUAGUGCUGCAGCUAACGCAUUAAGCACUCCGCCUGGGGAUACGGCGCAAGGCUG
rnacentral:rRNA from 1 species